GAAACAGUGUGGACAAAGGGGCACAUACAUACACCUAUGGUGGCACUGCCCCAAACUGACCCCACUGUGGAUAAAGGUGGCCUCACAAGUCUCAGAGCUCCUACAAACCACCAUCCCACUAGAUCCAUGGAUGUGGCUCCUCUCCAGGCCACAUGAGGACCUGUCCAGAGCCCAAAACAAAAUGAUGCACAGGAUAGCCCUGGCGACGAGACGUGCGGUGGCAGAACUCUGGGGGACACCCAACGUCCCCACACUACAAACAAUCAUACGCAAAACCAGGG